rnacentral:ncRNA from 2 species
AAGAAGGAUAUGGGAGAGAACCUUUUAAGGUCGCCGAAGGGACAAAUUUUAUUCUUACCCAAAGAAUAAAAUGAAAUUCUCAGGCAAAAGAACCAUAUCUGGACA